AAGUAAGCUUUGUCCCAGUGAGGACGUUAUGUCAAGAAGAAAAAGAAAAAGAAGUCAGUCAAAAUACGCUUUGAGUUUGGCCAAGCAUUGUCCAGAACUGCAAAAAUAUUUCAUUAAAUUCAUCCAAUUCACAAUUUUCUCUAAGAAACUCGGCAAUAAACUGCAGACAUUUGGAUGCCUUCCAUUCUAGAUCUGUUGAAUUUGAAAUUGAGAAGAACUUUGGCCUUAAGAACAAAGAAAAUCUGGCUCUUUAUUAUGGGGAAAUUUAGCCCGAGGCUGGUUCAAAGAAUGCUUUUAUUUAUUAUUUUACGGUUUUCUAAAGAUUAUCUCGUUGUUCAAUUUUACCAAGAUUUAAAUCAAGAUUUUGUUCGAGGAAACAUCCAAAAUUCAUUCCAGUGAAAUAUUUAGUCCAGCAGAAAUGCUUUAAUAAAUUUUGAACGAAUUUAUUCAGUAAUUGGCUCCGUAGAAUCAUCGAGGGCUUUUUUAGGACAUUAUUGGAGAAAUCCCUAAAAAAUCCGAAAAGUAUCGCUACAACAAUUCCUAUAGUAAUCUCUGAUAAAACUUCUGUAGAAAUUCCUGUUGAACUCUUACGAACAUCUUUGAAAAGUUCCCUAUCUUCAGAAGAAGUUUUAUAGGUUUUUCAAGAUGAAUUGCUAAGGGACCGUCUAUAAAUGACGUAGCAUUUUUUGUCGAAAUUUUUACACCCCCCUCCCCCAUCGUAGCCUGUUUUCUCAUACCUAACACAUGGUUCGUCUCAAAAUCAUAGACUCCCCCUAACCUUAAAAUGCUUUGUCAUUUAUAGCCGAUCUCUAAGAUAAUUAUUUAUAAAAACAAUCAAUUGAAUCGCUGGAUAAAAUCCUACAAAACUUUCUGGAGGCAUGCCCUAAAAUACAUAGAAUAGAAUCUCUUAAAAAACUUGUGUAGAAAUGGACGAAAUAGCUGCAGUAGUAUUUGUUGGUGAGAAACCUUAAAUGAAAUAUUGUAGAAUCUACACACCAAAUUUUCCAUCCAGGUUUCAGCAAUAUGCAUUGCUGAAACAAUUUCAGCAACACCUUGUUUUACUGAUAUCCAGCAUUUUUGAAAAUGUUUGCUGGAAUUCAGCUAUAUAACUUGCUGAAUACUUGUCAACACUUGAUUUUUUGCUGGAAUUCAGUAAAUAGUUUGACAGCUUUGAAAAUUUGCCGUAAAUCAGUUAAAUUGAAUACUAAACUCACAUCACCAAUCAUGUUUUUUGCUGAAAACCAGCAAACAUUUCAAUCUGUCAUACAAUAAUCUUCAAACAAAUAAAGUUCGUACUCAAAUCUUGCUGGUUUUGAUAAGUGAAAAAUCCAAAAGUUUUUGAACUUUUUAGAGUUGCGGAUGGAAAUCUCACUAAGCUAUAUUUCGUAAGUAAAGAUUGAAGAACUUCUUAUUUAUAACAUCAUAAACUUUUGAUGCAUUCCAGGACCCCGACGGAACCGAAAUGGCACAAGAUAAUAUGGCUCUGUCUCUUUCUUCAAAGCAGAGCAUAAACUGCAAGAUUGUUCAUCCCAACUCCAACAAUUUUAAAAAAGUUAUAUUUUAAUAUUUCUCAAACUUGUCAUUGUAAAUAUCUUGAACAUCAUCUAUUUUUUUUUUUCGAAAAAGGAUCCGAAAAGCAAGCUAAGACAUUUGUAAACAAGCAACUACUGGACAUGCACAAAAUGAAAUGCAAUUUGCUGGAUGUUCAGCAUAAUAGCUGUCACGUUCACUGGAAUGCUUUUUGCUGGAUGAUCAGCAAAAAUUGGUUUUGCUGGAUGGAUUGCUGAAUUUACAGCACAAAAAAAGUCAGCAAAACUUUGCUGGUUUACAGCAAUAAAGAUUUGGUGUGUAGGUUCGAAAAUGCACUCGACAUGUGUUAUCAUUAAGGUACAAGAAAAAAUGGCACAAAUCCUAAAGAUUUGUCCGUCACUGUACGGUCCCACAGGCCAUCCACAUAGGAACCGACGCGACUACGUGUAUAGGUAUGCUGCAAUGCAAGCACGACAAAAAAAACUUCCACGUAUACAGCGAGAUUAUCGUGAUUCAAAAUAAGCUACAAUUUCAUGUCUGGAACAAACUAAGGAGUGCUGAACAGCAAAGAAACCUAAUUAUACCAGAUAAGACAGACAAAUGGGCCAACGUAUUGUGAUUUGGCAAACCGGGGUGAUGUGUUGGCGUUUUAUGCACCGCCAAAUUAAACCACAUUGCACUUGAUACCUCAGUAUAACUCACUUCCACUUGAUUCUCUCUACAUUCAAACCGUUUAACUGUUCUUAUAUCGAUAUGUCUCUAUCGAUAGCUUUGUUGAAUAAUCUAGCAGGCCAAGCCGAGUCACACAUCAUUUCUUAUUCGUUCCGAAUCGUGGCAACUCUUCAAAGUCCAGACCACAGAAAAAGAAAAAUCCGACCCGGAAUAGAUUCCAGCCGCACGAUUUCCAAGAUGGAGAAGCGAAUCGAUAGUCAAUACAGAAGAGAAAAAGAUGUACUCACAGAACUCAACCAGGACGAAUUCGUUGCCUUCGACCACCGACUGGAAGUUAUCCUUGGUCAGCACCAGGACGCCAUCCUCUUCCUUCACUUCGGCAUCCGAGGCCACCAGAGCCAAUCCGGCGACCAAAAGCACCAAACUUAACGACUUUAGAACUCGCAUAUUGUAAUCCGGACUAUAUGUUUCCUUAGCCUA